GGUGAUCAAGCAUGGAGACGGUGAAUCGUAGAUACGAGCUAGAUCUUCUCAAUCAUUAGAUCAAGGAGUUGAUAAAGUUUGAUUGUAAGAGUUUUGUAACCGUCCGAAACUUUUGCGCUAGUGGGGCCUGACUUUGUCUGGAAAGUGAACACGUGGUUUUUCUCCCAUUAAAGAGUUUUCACGGUAAAAGGUUCGUGUGCAACUUAUUUGAUUGGUUUGCUUACUUUUACAUUUGAGUUCUACAAUAUUGCUCAAAACUGUGUUAAUACUUUUAAUAUUGUAGUAUUAAAUCCUAGAUAAAACCUAGACGAAGAAUAGUUUUUUUUUUCAAUUGGUAUCAGAGCAAGACACUCAAAAUUGUUUAUUUGUAAAGAUUGAGAUCCUAGUAGUCUAAAUCUAUAGAUUUACCUAUGGAAGGUAAUUCUACAUCUCGACCACCUCUACUUGUGGUACAAAAUGAUCUUAUGAAAAGCUAAAAUUAGGGUUUUUCUUAGUCUAUAAUUGAACGAGUAUGGCAGCAUGUUGUCAAAAGUUGGAGCCACUCAUGUUUUUUACUGAUGAAAAAAUAAUUUUAAAGAAUGUUUUUGGGACUGGGAUAAUGUCGAUUAUGACACACUGUGGAUGGAAUAGCAAAGGCCAUUAAUGCUAUCUUUAAUAACGAAACGGGGUCACCGCUGAAGAGUUUCGUAAAACUCACACUGUUAACUCAUUAAAGAGGCUGGGAUAUUUUUAACAGUUACCCAUGAGGGCAAUAUCUAACUAUAAAAAAUGGCCAAGUUUCACACGUUGACUACAGCUUUUGAAAUCUUGAGAAUGGAAGACAUGAAAUAUUUGAUCAUUUUCUUUAACUAAGUGACAUAGUCAAUUCAAGUGCAACUUGGUGAACAAUCUCUCCUCAAAAAUUGUUGAAAAUUCUAGAUCAUUACCUGAGAAUUUCACAAGCAAGGUUACUGGCCAAUAUAGGAAAGUACGGAUGUUGAUGUCCAUGAAGUAGAGCAUUUAAUGUAGAUCCUUCAAACUUAUUGAAGCCAAUUUCCGACAACCGAAAAAAGUUAAAAGGAUUGCUCUAAGCUUUAACUAAAGAAAAUUUAAUGAGCUAAAGAUAAGUGACUCGACAUUAGUGUUUAAGGAAAUGGCCUUUUUUUUCGUCAAAAUAUUUAAAAUAUUUUUUAACAAACAAACAGGUCAAACCCACCUCAGUUGGAAACAGUAAACGAAAUAUUUUUUGAUAAAGUAAAGUUUUGUAGGAAAUCACUGAUACUCGAGUCAAAAAAAUGUUUUGAAUGUCAUGGCUUUGGGCAUAUUUGCUGCUCCUCCCAUUUCCCCCCCCAAAGAAAUCAAGGGAAGCAAGGUAUUGACUGUGACUGGAGUGAUUCCGAGAAUGGGGAAGAGGAAUCAGAUGUGAUAUGGGGAAAAAAAAACCUGAAACAUUUACUUGCUUUCAUGACUACUAAUGAUGGGACAACUGAAGAUCUCAAAGGAAUUAGAACCACGAUAAAUUGAUUCAGAUGACACAAUUGGGUCUCAAGAGCAGAAUAUGAUAAUAAAAAAUGCGAUUUGUAGUAAGCAUACAAUCAUCUAGAAAGUAGGUCAUACAAGCUUUUGAAGCAAAGUGAAACUGGAUAAGAAAUAAGAAGCUUUGGAAGAACUUGAUCCUUAAGACAGGUGAAUUGAAGAUGCUAAAGUUUGAAACCAACCGUUGAAAAGUCAUCUAAUGACUCUACCUUGACAAGUGAGAUUUCUAGAGAAAGAUGCAUAUGAUAGAGAGGGAUCAAAAAAUCAUUGAAAGAAAAAUUUCUGAAACUUGAAGCUGAUCUCUAAAUCUAAUCUGACUUUUAAAAAUACAAGCAAGUGCUUCUACUAUUGAGAAAGUUUUGGUGAAUUAGAAGCCUGCAGGUGAUACGCAUGGUAUUGGAUAUGAUGACUAAUGUAUGUGUGUCGAAGCAACUCAAAAAUAGUAAGUCCAUCAAAUUUUUGUUCUUGGAGUCAGGUAUAACUCUUCUCCCUUUGUCUCUACUUGUCACUACUGUGGUAUAAGAGGUCACAUUAAGUCAAAGUGCCAUAAAUUGUAUGGAUUACCUAUGAAUUAUGUUAAAUCUUACAAUUUUCAAUAUCAAGGUUAAUUAUAUAACGGUCAAACGUCAAAUAGGUUUCAUGUGUUGACUGAGCAAAGGAACAUUGCUAGACAAGAUUUUCAAAAACAUGUUUAGUAUCAACAUCAUGAAAAUUAGAUGACUAAGUUUGCUUCAAAAUAUACCUCAAGGAAAGGUCAAAGGCCAAAUAAACAACCUUCAGCUAUGCAUGUAAACGUAAAAACUAAGGCUAUAUGGAUAAGGAAGAAUGAUUUGAGAGGAUUUGUUGCUCACACUGCACUAAAAGCUCACAAUUUUACUAGUGGUAUCUUAAGGAUAGUGGAUGUUCAUAUUAUAUAUGUGGAAAUAAAGCAUUCUUUGAAUAGGUGACAAAAUGUGAUGGGGAUUAGUUACUUUGGAGAUCGGAG
rnacentral:lncRNA from 1 species